rnacentral:rRNA from 1 species
UACGUAGGUGACCAGCGUUGUCCGGAUUUACUGGGCGUAAAGAGCGCGCAGGCGGUCGUUCAAGUCGAGUGUGAAAGCCCCCGGCUCAACUGGGGAGGGUCAUUCGAUACUGAUCGACUGGAAGGCAGGAGAGGGAAGCGGAAUUCCCGGUGUAGUGGUGAAAUGCGUAGAUAUCAGGAGGAACACCUAUUGCGAAGGCAGCUCGCUGGGACGUAACUGACGCUGAGACGCGAAAGCGUGGGGAGCAAACAGG